UUUUAUUUUCAGAGUGGAGGACAGUGAAUCAGCCUGCCUCUUAUCUGCUUUUGUAUCCGUGCCUGGAUAGCAGAGGAUGCCUGGCUUAAUUCUUUCGUUGUUCAUAAUGGGCAAGUAUCCUUAAAAAAAGAGGUCUCCAGUUUACCAUAGACAAAGCUGAUCUUUAGGCUAGGGGGACAAGCACCAAGAUAACCCUUCAGCUCUCAGUCACCUGGUUUGUAUCUGACAAAUGCAGUCAACAUUGGUGGGAAGCUACUCGAUGCCCUAAGUGGAAUGAGUUUCCUUUUGCUUUGCAAACAGAUAACUGGUUUCACCGGAGAUUGCGCUGUGAGUUGACAUUAAUGGGUAAACCCUCAGGGGUUUUCAGAGCGGACGGCAGACGACUGAGUGGAAUGACAGACACCGCCCCCGCACCUGGGGCUGGGAAAGGUGGCACCCUCUGGAACGGCUCCUGGCAGCUCCCCAGGGGCUCAGCACCAUCACAGAGGACAUCCUCUAGCUACGGGCAGGAGGCAGAGGGAACUCAUUUUGAAACCUCAAGAGCUGCCGUGAAAUGGGAUUGUCAUCUGCCAGGGAGCUCCAGUGCCUACGUGCCUUACAGCGACGGUGACAAAUUCUCAUCCCAGCCUGGCACGAAGCCUUGAUGGCAGAGCUGGCGUGGUUUGGGUUAGGGUGCGGGCAUCAGGCGUGAUGCAACGUGGUGUGGAAGCAACAGAUGCCAACGUUCUCCUAAACUCGUGAUCAGAAGAAAACACAGCGAGUGAGCCAUCCCACUGUUUUUCCUUCAAAAUGAACUUUCCAGUUCAUCUCCUGCAAGUACUGGAAAAACUUGAUGGCCUGUGGGGAUCACACGAGUUGACAAGGUAAUUCAGAGACCCCUGGGAAAAUGAGCCACAUGGAAUGUGGGAAUUCCCCAUGGAAAUUAUCUGGUCUUUUGCUCUGAUGUCUGGGAGAAGGCUGGUGGCAAGAGGGUAAGGCAUUUCUACUGGUGGAAAACCUGAGGUGGAUCAGAGAAGAGGGAGAAAAAAAACUUCAUCGGGUAAAACCCUGCCAUGCCCGAUGCAGAGGGAGGAAGAAGUGGCUGCUGCUGGCCGCAGAGUGGUUUGACCUGAUGGAAACUAUUGCAACCAGAAAAAAUAGAUUUGAACAGUUUUAUCUCCUGCAAGGUUUUUGAUAGAAGUCAGGAGGUGAGUAGGCAAAUAUUUUCCAGCAAGGGCAGCAAAGAAAACAGUAGGAUUUUCUGCUUCAUUUAGUAAAUCCAUUGCUUUUGUCCACAGUAUUGCCAUUAGUUAGCCUGU